rnacentral:rRNA from 1 species
UUUAUUCCUGGCUCAGGAGGAACGCUAGCGAUAGCCCUAACCACAUGCAAGUUGAGGGGCAGCACUGGCGAGUAGCAAUACUUGCCUGGUGGCGACCGGCGGAUGGGUGAGUAACACGUAUGCAACCUGCUUACAACAAGGGCAUAACUCCGGGAAAUCGGUGCUAAUUCCCUAUAACACAGGGGCCCCGCAUGGGGAUAUUGUUAAAGAUUUAAUCGGUUGUAGAUGGGCAUGCGUUCCAUUAGCUAGUUGGUGAGGUAAUGGCUCACCAAGGCAACGAUGGAUAGGGGAACUGAGAGGUUUAUCCCCCACACUGGUACUGAGACACGGACCAGACUCCUACGGGAGGCAGCAGUGAGGAAUAUUGGUCAAUGGAGGCAACUCUGAACCAGCCACGUCGCGUGAAGGAAGACGGCCCUACGGGUUGUAAACUUCUUUUGUAAGGGAAUAAAGUGAGUCACGCGUGACUUUUUGCAUGUACCUUACGAAUAAGGAUCGGCUAACUCCGUGCCAGCAGCCGCGGUAAUACGGAGGAUCCGAGCGUUAUCCGGAUUUAUUGGGUUUAAAGGGUGCGCAGGCGGGAGACUCAGUCGGUGGUGAAAUCUUGCAGCUCAACUGUAAGCGUGCCAUUGAUACUGGUUUUCUUGAGUGUGGAUGAAGUAGGCGGAAUUUGUGGUGUAGCGGUGAAAUGCAUAGAUAUCACGAGGAACUCCGAUUGCGUAGGCAGCUUACUAAACCAUAACUGACGCUCAUGCACGAAGGCGUGGGGAUCAAACAGGAUUAGAUACCCUGGUAGUCCACGCGGUAAACGAUGAUUACUGGCUGUUUGCGAUACACAGUAAGCGGCCCAGCGAAAGCGU